rnacentral:rRNA from 1 species
CCUACGGGAGGCAGCAGUGGGGAAUAUUGCACAAUGGGCGCAAGCCUGAUGCAGCCAUGCCGCGUGUGUGAAGAAUGCCUUCGGGUUGUAAAGCACUUUCAGCGGGGAGGAAGGCGUUAAGGUUAAUAACCUUGUCGAUUGACGUUACCCGCAGAAGAAGCACCGGCUAACUCCGUGCCAGCAGCCGCGGUAAUACGGAGGGUGCAAGCGUUAAUCGGAAUUACUGGGCGUAAAGCGCACGCAGGCGGUCUGUCAAGUCGGAUGUGAAAUCCCCGGGCUCAACCUGGGAACUGCAUUCGAAACUGGCAGGCUAGAGUCUUGUAGAGGGGGGUAGAAUUCCAGGUGUAGCGGUGAAAUGCGUAGAGAUCUGGAGGAAUACCGGUGGCGAAGGCGGCCCCCUGGACAAAGACUGACGCUCAGGUGCGAAAGCGUGGGGAGCAAACAGGAUUAGAUACCCCAGUAGUC